CCUACGGGGGGCUGCAGUGAGGAAUUUUCCACAAUGGGCGCAAGCCUGAUGGAGCAACGCCGCGUGCAGGAUGAAGGUUUUCGGAUUGUAAACUGCUUUUAUGUGCGAAGAAUAUGACGGUAACACAUGAAUAAGGAUCGGCUAACUCCGUGCCAGCAGCCGCGGUCAUACGGAGGAUCCAAGCGUUAUCCGGAUUUACUGGGCGUAAAGAGUUGCGUAGGUGGUUUGUUAAGUGAAUAGUGAAAUCUUGUGGCUCAACCAUAAGGCUAUUAUUCAAACUGGCAAACUCGAGAAUGAGAGAGGUCACUGGAAUUCCUUGUGUAGGAGUGAAAUCCGUAGAUAUAAGGAGGAACACCAAUGGCGUAGGCAGGUGACUGGCUCAUUUCUGACACUGAGGCACGAAAGCGUGGGGAGCGAACGGGAUUAGAUACCCCAGUAGUC
rnacentral:rRNA from 1 species